CGGACGGGGCGUCCGCGCCCCCCUUUAUAGAGCCGCCGGGGCGCCGCCGCCCGCGCCCGGCCCGCACCGAGCGGCGGAUGGACGGAGGGACGGACAGACGGACAGCCCGCUGCCGCUCGGGCCCGGCCGAGGCGAGCCCUGCUCGGGAGCGCGCUGCAAGCGGGCGAAGGUGGCUCCGGAGAGCAGCGGCCGAUGCGUCCGACCCCGAACCGGCGUGACCACGAAGGCACGGGAGCUUUUUUUGCUUACAAACCAGUAAACCUCAUUUCACAUGGCGAGUGCCUGAUUUAUCCCCGCCUCCUUCGGGAGCAACCCCAAACCCUAGCGAACACUUUUACAAAGUGUGUUUCUCCUGCCUGUGAAAUGACAGAGUUUUCACUGGUGACAAUUAUCCGAAGGAGCUGUUCUGUGCCGAUGUGCCUCGUGCUGGGAGCGUGGUGAGGUCGUGUGCAUACGAAAAUGGAAACUUCCCGAGAUGUUCAGACUCAGAAGCUCCGAGUCUGCAGAAUUCCCUACCAAUGUGUUUUUUUUGGUUGUUGAAAUAAAAUCUUCAUUGCUGUAAUUAGUUAGUAUUUGUAAAGCCUCUAAGAUUCCAGAAUAAGUGGCUGAAAGAAAUUCGCAUGGCUAUUAGAUAAAUGUGUUAAUAAUAAUGAAGAUGGCUGGUGAGAAGACAUCACUCCUAAUGAUGUACGAUUUAUUUCCUUAAGGGUGUGCUAAUAAACAAAACUCAUUUUUAAAA